rnacentral:rRNA from 1 species
GACGAACCACACGAACGUUAUUCGGAAUCACUGGGCUUAAAGGGUGCGUAGGCGGCGCGGAAAGUAGGGUGUGAAAUCCCUCGGCUCAACCGAGGAAUAGCGCCCUAAACUACCGUGCUCGAGGGAGAUAGAGGUGAGCGGAACUUAGAGUGGAGCGGUGAAAUGCGUUGAUAUCCUAAGGAACACCGGUGGCGAAAGCGGCUCACUGGAUCUCUUCUGACGCUGAGGCACGAAAGCUAGGGUAGCGAACGGG